GUCGAGAAUCUUUCACAAUGGGGGCAACCCUGAUGGAGCGACGCCGCGUGGAGGAUAAGGUCUUCGGAUUGUAAACUCCUGUCAUGCGUGAACAAGGUUGCUUGGUUAAUACCUGGGCAAAUUGAUGGUAACGCAAGAGGAAGAGACGGCUAACUCUGUGCCAGCAGCCGCGGUAAUACAGAGGUCUCAAGCGUUGUUCGGAAUCACUGGGCGUAAAGGGUGCGUAGGUGGUGUGGUAAGUCAGAUGUGAAAGCCCGGGGCUCAACCUCGGAACUGCAUCCGAUACUGCCAUGCUAGAGUACUGGAGAGGUGACUAGAAUUCUCGGUGUAGCAGUGAAAUGCGUAGAUAUCGAGAGGAAUACCAAAGGCGUAGGCAGGUCACUGGACAGUUACUGACACUGAGGCACGAAGGCCAGGGGAGCGAACGGGAUUAGAUACCCUAGUAGUCC
rnacentral:rRNA from 1 species